GCCUGGGUGGCUCAGUGGGUUGAGCGUCUGACUCUGGCUCAGGUCAUGAUCCCACAGCUCUGUGAGUUCGAGCCCCGCAUCAGGUU
rfam:Felis catus breed Abyssinian Contig90801.1, whole genome shotgun sequence. [26-MAY-2016]